GCACCAUUUUCUACAAAUCAGAUUUAAUCACACCUCUGCAAAGAAGAAGAAGAAGAAGAAAUGCAGCGACCGAGAAUUUCAUCACCGACGGAUACAAUCAGCACUUUACCGGACGAAAUCCUUUGCCGAAUUCUCUCUUUCCUCACAACCAAACAAUCAGUUGCAACAACCGUUUUGUCCAAACGGUGGACUCAUCUAUGGCACCAUGUUCCCGUUCUUCACUUCCCUCACAUCACAAUCAACACCGUCGAAUCCAAUUUCCGUUUCAACGAAUCUGUUUACUCCGUUUUAACCUCUCGCGACACCGCCGCAGCCUCUCAUUUCAUAGACACUUUCCAUCUCGAUAUUCAAUACGGUAAUUCUCAUCUUGCUUAUAAUUUAGGGUUUCCCAAUGUCACCAAAUGGAUCAACCUUAUUGUUCAACGAAAACUUAAAUAUCUUCAUUUGAAUCUCCAUGUGCCACUUCCUUAUAAUUUUGUUGGUUUUCCAUAUCACCCGAAAUUGCCUGUUAGUAUCUUCACCUGUAGAACACUUGUAAGUCUUAAUCUCCGUUGGUUUCGUGUCGAGGAUUUUUCUUUUUCUUCAAAUGGAUUUCAAUUUCCCUCACUCAAAACUCUUCAUUUGAGAUUCGUUAAGUUUUCAGAAGUUCGAGAUUUUAUGUUGCUUUUAACUGGAUGUCCAAUUCUUGAGGAUUUGAAAGCUUCUCAUAUAUACUUCUUUUGUGCGGAAGAUUCUGUUACUGUUCAAGAGUUUAAGAGAUUAACCUUACCUAAAUUGAUUAGAGCUGAUGUGAGUCAAUGUUGGUGUUCGUGUUAUAUGGCGAAAGCACUUUCUACUUCGGUGUCUCUCUGCAUAGAAACAUCCUGGUUGUUGUGCACAAAAGACUACAGAGUUUACAAGGUGAAUAAACUGAAGCCGCCUUCUGAUGACAUUCCCAUCUUUCAUAAUUUAACGCACUUGAAGCUCCACAAUAAUUGGGAUUUGGUACUACAAGUACUCCACCAUUGCCCCAAGCUUCAAAAUCUUCAACUUUAUCAGGGGUUAUACGAGGCAAUGUUGAAUGAAGAAGAUGAUCAAGAAAAUUGGGUGGAACCAAAACUUGUUCCCCAAUGCCUUUCAUCAUACCUUAGAACUUGUACUAUUCAACACUUAUCAGGCCCAAAAUUUGAACUCAUGUUAGCCAAAUAUAUUUUGAAAAAUGCAAGACUUUUGCAAACCAUGACAAUCUGGACCACAAGGGAACUGCCUGAAAUUGAAAGGAAGUUGUCCCCAUGCCCAAAGGCCUCUGCAACAUGUCAACUUUCAUUUAUGGAUAGCGUAUAGACUAUUUGUAUGCGGAAUUCAGAUUUAACGCCAAGUGUUUUAAGAACCAAGGUAUUAAAUAAAUAUUAUGUUAUUGUGAUCUAGGCCACAACAUCAAGGUUCUGUUAUUGAGGCCGCACCAACAGCAUUUGACUGCGGUUCUUUGCAAUAACAAAGAUUGUGACACAAUCAUGACCAUUAUCCCAACAACAUUUUAAAACACCUUUCCAAUGAAGCUUUUUCCUUUUAUGCACUUUCGAAGCAAACAAAAAGGAAAUUGAUUAAGUAAGGUUAAUGGAACUUUCACGUGGUAAUCCGUGAAUUUGUUGUCUCACUGAAAUAUGUCAUGUUAUUUUCCUAACUGUUUAUACGUCAGCUUUUCUAACUGUUUAUACGUCAGCAGGAAUUGCAUUAGUUUUUUUUUCCUUCUUUUGAGGAAUGAAACUGCAUUAGCUUUAAUUCUCAUUGGAAGAUUUGAGCCUCAGGAAACGGCUGAGUCUUGGUGGUUACUUGAAAGGAGAAAGACAGGCUUUUGACGAUUUCACACUGAUGCAUGAUUUAGCACUGAUUAGGAACACCAUGUAUAUAGAAUGCCCAAAACUUCACCUCUCUAUCUGCGAUCUCUCUCUCGCUCACCUUUCAGCUUCAAAUAUUGGAAUACUCCUGAUUAAAUGUUUUCUUUAUAUUCUCUCCCACUUUCAGUCUUGCCCUAGAUUUUUCCCUUUCCAUCUCUUUCGCCGGCGAGAAAAAAUGGUGGAAGAUCUGCCUUUGCAUUCUCACAUUGUAUAUCAUGGCAAUCCUCUGAAUCCAUUUAAGAUAUUAAACCUUGUACUUAGCCGUAAUUCCGCUGCCUUGUUAUUUUUUGCUAGACAAUAAUAAAAUAGUAGCUCCCCCAUCUGAAACAAUCCAUUGUUAAUAAGCUUGGAUUUUGCAUUGCAUCUAUAGCCAUUAGAAUCCAUGUCUUCCAUGCCUAGGACAAAAGCCAAUGAGUUUUGUGAACUAUCAGAAGAUCUUUAGCUAAACAUAGUGACAACAAUCCAGUACUGCAGCUGUUCCACUUAGACUGACCCUCUUAAUGUUGCUUUGAAAUCCAAACUUGUUAAUGCAUGGUGUGAGAGGGAGAAUGGAACAAUUUGACACAAAGAUGUAAAUGCUCUUAAGAUGUAUAGUGUUUCGAAAGAAGAACCACCAAAUUCAACUCUGUUUUUAGUAAAAUACCAGGGGGAGCUCAUGAACAACUGCUUCUGGCAUGCAAACCUCAACUCCAAUAUCAGAUCUUUCCAGUACUUUUGUCUUUGGAAUCAAAGUCUAUGGUUUCUUGGUCAAAUUUUCACAAUUGCAAGUGUUCCUUGAAAUGGGAGUGCGACUCUAAAUUAUUAUCAAGAGACAAAUAUAACAGACAUGGUCAAGAAAAUAAUGUUAUGACUGCUGAUGAUUCUGUCACAUGGACGUGUAACUAUAUGAAUAACUUUCUGUUUUUUCUUCCUUAAAAGAAACAAAGUAUUUGUAACAAAUAGGAAAUUUCCAUUUGCAACCUAAACUGGAUUACAAUAA